GACGUAGGGCGCGAGCGUUGUCCGGAUUUAUUGGGCGUAAAGAGCUCGUAGGCGGUUUGUCGCGUCGAAUGUGAAAACCCGGGGCUCAACCCCGGGCCUGCAUUCGAUACGGGCAGACUAGAGUUCGGUAGGGGAGUCUGGAAUUCCUGGUGUAGCGGUGAAAUGCGCAGAUAUCAGGAGGAACACCGGUGGCGAAGGCGGUUCUCUGGGCAUGUCCUGACGCUGAGGAGCGAAAGUGUGGGGAGCGAACAGG
rnacentral:rRNA from 1 species